rnacentral:tRNA from 1 species
GCGGAUGUAGCCAAGUGGAUCAAGGCAGUGGAUUGAGAACCCACCAUGCGCGA